rnacentral:rRNA from 1 species
UACGUAGGGUGCAGGCGUUAAUCGGAAUUACUGGGCGUAAAGCGUGCGCAGGCGGUUUGCUAAGACAGGUGUGAAAUCCCCCGGGCUUAACCUGGGAACUGCGCUUGUUACUGGCAGGCUUGAGUGUGGCAGAGGGGGGGUGGAAUUCCACGUGUAGCAGUGAAAUGCGUAGAUAUCGGGAGGAACACCUGUGGCGAAGGCGGCCCCCUGGUU